rnacentral:rRNA from 1 species
CCUACGGGUGGCUGCAGUGAGGAAUAUUGGUCAAUGGGCGCGAGCCUGAACCAGCCAAGUAGCGUGAAGGAUGACUGCCCUACGGGUUGUAAACCUCUUUUAUAAAGGAUUAAAGUGCGGCACGUGUGCCUUUUUGUAUGUACUUUAUGAAUAAGGAUCGGCUAACUCCGUGCCAGCAGCCGCGGUAAUACGGAGGAUCCGAGCGUUAUCCGGAUUUAUUGGGUUUAAAGGGAGCGUAGUUGGGUUGUUAAGUCGGUUGUGAAAGUGUGCAGCCCAACCAUAACAUUGCAGUUGAAACUAGGAGUCUGGAGUGUGGGGGAGGUGGGUGAAAUGCGUGGUGUAGGGGUAAAAU